CGGAGCCGGAGCUCUUAUAGAAAAGGUGGUUGAGGCAGCAGAAGUUUUGGUUGUGAUGGCUGUUGUGUCUGUGAUUGUUCAUGGAGAUUGGUAUAGAGAAUUAAUAAAAAACUGGUGAGAUCUCUUUUUAUCUGUCAAAUAGCGAUAGUUUCUCAGGUAUAGAAUAUUUGUACAUAAGUGAAAUGCAGAUUCCCACAAACAAAUGAAAGAGAGUAUAGGAAUGUUUGUUGUGUAAUUG
rnacentral:misc_RNA from 1 species